UUGCAGUCUCUUUGCAGGAGGCAUGGGACAGUAUGACCAAUGGCCAAAUGAACACCAGAAACGUAUCUGGUUGUCAGGCCCUGAAGCCACUAAUGACCCUGAUCAGCCUCACCUGGGGCCUCCAGCCACAGGCCCAGGAGCUCCAUCUAAGCUCGGUUCUGGUGCUCUGUUCCUUUCCUGAGCUCUGCUGAUGGUGUGCCUGUCCCCAGCCCUGCUUGUGGUCCUGCCUCCAGGAUAGACCUCAGGCUUGUGUGGACUUUUCCCUCUGUCCCACUCUUCUCCUGUGAAGGGAUCUCAAACCAGAAAGACUCUGGCCAGUGCCUACCUCAGUCACAGUGGGUGGAUCGUACUGCUGAGUGUUUAGGAGAUGGACAGAGAUAUGCAGCACAUGUAAGGUUUCAUGGCAAUGGUUGGCUGUGAUCUCUGGCGUGGCCUCUGCACUUGUUCUGCCAUGCCUUUGACAUAACACGCGUGGACAUGAUGGACUCAUCCCAAGGAUACCCUGUGCCUGGUGGCAGAUGGAUUCCGGGCUGAAAUGAGGAAAAACAGAUCAUGAAGGUGCGAGCGCGCUGUGAACGUGUGCACAGGUCACACGUGUGCUGGUGGGAUGCCAUAUGGGGGUGUUUGCUUCCCAGGGGAGCUAUUGCUGUUUGGUAGGUGCUUCCCAACCCUGGGAUGCUUGAGCGUCCUUCCCUCAGAUAGGAAGGAGAAUUAACUUUCCUGGUCACUGUCACUCUGCCUAUUCAGACCUUGAUUCAACAAAGCUGCUGAUUUCAGCAAGGCUUUGGGAGGAAUUCAAACCAGCGCUUAACUGCUUUGCUGAACCUGAGCUCAAGAGGGCUGGAGAGCAGCACGUGGUCUGCAGGUAAUGUAAAGGAGCUCCCUGCCCAAGUCUGGGUGAUGCUUUUGGCUGGGUAGUGC